rnacentral:rRNA from 1 species
UAGGAGAGAUGUGCGUAAGGACUACAGGCGGCGACGGGUAUCCGAGCCUGAGAGGGUGUACGGACACAUUGGGACUGAGAUACGGCCCAGACUCCUACGGGAGGCAGCAGUGGGGAAUAUUGCACAAUGGGCGCAAGCCUGAUGCAGCGACGCCGCGUGGGGGAUGAAGGCCUUCGGGUUGUAAACUCCUUUCGCUAUCGACGAAGCCACUUGUGGUGACGGUAGGUAGAUAAGAAGCACCGGCUAACUACGUGCCAGCACCCGCGGCCGA